GUUACCUGUACAGGUGGUUCUAUGUGAACCAGUGAGUGUUACCUGUACAGGUGGUUCUAUGUGAACCAGUGAGUGUUACCUGUACAGGUGGUUCUCUCUGGACCAGUGAGUGUUACCUGUACAGGUGGUUCUAUGUGAACCAGUGAGUGUUACCUGUACAGGUGGUUCUCUCUGGACCAGUGAGUGUUACCUGUACAGGUGGUUCUAUGUGAACCAGUGAGUGUUACCUGUACAGGUGGUUCUAUGUGAACCAGUGAGUGUUACCUGUACAGGUGGUUCUCUGUGGACCAGGUGAGUGAUACCUGUACAGGUGGUUCUAUGUGGACCAGUGAGUGUUACCUGUACAGGUGGUUCUAUGUGAACCAGUGAGUGUUACCUGUACAGGUGGUUCUAUGUGAACCAGUGAGUGUUACCUGUACAGGUGGUUCUAUGUGAACCAGUGAGUGUUACCUGUACAGGUGGUUCUAUGUGAACCAGUGAGUGUUACCUGUACAGGUGGUUCUCUCUGGACCAGUGAGUGUUACCUGUACAGGUGGUUCUAUGUGAACCAGUGAGUGUUAACUGUACAGGUGGUUCUCUCUGGACCAGUGAGUGUUACCUCUACAGGUGGUUCUAUGUGGACCAGGUGAGUGUUACCUGUACAGGUGGUUCUAUGUGAACCAGUGAGUGUUACCUGUACAGGUGGUUCUAUGUGGAUCCAGGCCGGCAGCAUCAUGCUCGGGUUCAGCGGUUGAGUUCCGACUCUGAA